rnacentral:rRNA from 1 species
ACAUAAGUAACGAUAAAGCGGGUGAAAAGCCCGCUCGCCGGAAGACCAAGGGUUCCUGUCCAACGUUAAUCGGGGCAGGGUGAGUCGACCCCUAAGGCGAGGCCGAAAGGCGUAGUCGAUGGGAAACAGGUUAAUAUUCCUGUACUUGGUGUUACUGCGAAGGGGGGACGGAGAAGGCUAUGUUGGCCGGGCGACGGUUGUCCCGGUUUAAGCGUGUAGGUGUGUGUUCCAGGUAAAUCCGGUUCACUUUAACACUGAGGCGUGACGACGAGGCACUACGGUGCUGAAGCAACAAAUGCCCUGCUUCCAGGAAAAGCCUCUAAGCAUCAGGUAACAUCAAAUCGUACCCCAAACCGACACAGGUGGUCAGGUAGAGAAUAC